UACGUAGGGACCGAGCGUUGUCCGGAAUUAUUGGGCGUAAAGAGCUCGUAGGCGGUCUGUCACGUCGGCUGUGAAAUCCCGAGGCUCAACCUCGGGUCUGCAGUCGAUACGGGCAAACUAGAGUAUUGCAGGGGAGACUGGAAUUCCUGGUGUAGCGGUGAAAUGCGCAGAUAUCAGGAGGAACACCGGUGGCGAAGGCGGGUCUCUGGGCAAUAACUGACGCUGAGGAGCGAAAGCGUGGGGAGCGAACAGG
rnacentral:rRNA from 1 species